rnacentral:lncRNA from 1 species
UUGAGGUUAUUCAACUACGCCUACUGUCACUUUCAACAUCUGACAAGUUGAAAGAAGUUCUACUUUUGUUGCAUAACUAUUAAGAUAACUUCUCAGUAAAUUUGUGUUAAAAUUACUCACUGAAAAUGCAGGUGCCACACCGCUUAAUUCAACUUAUGGCAAAACCAGUUGGCCGAAGAUAUGCCUCGCAUGGAGCGGUAGCGAAAAGCACCUAUAAUGACCUCCCAUCUCCCUCGGGCAGUUGGCAAACUAACUAUGAUGCUCAGCAACGCAAAUACAAUGCACAACUUGCCUUAGGAGUAGGUGUUUUCGCUGGGACUCUUCUCUUCGGAAAAGCCGCUGGCUUCUUUGAAUUC